GGCUAGAAUUGAAGGAGAACUGUUUAUUCCAUCACACAUGUAUAUGGGUUCUAGAGAUCUGAACUACCACCUUGCGAGACUGGAAAGUUGAAGGAGGCGGAAAAGAAGGAAAGAAAGAGAAGGUAGAGGAGCAGGAAUAAUAGAAAGAAGACUGGAGGGAGGAGAAACUCUGUCAUAUGCACAACAUGGAUGAACCCAGAGGUCAAUCUGUUAUAGGAUGGUGUCAGUUGAAGAAAAUUCUUGGCAUUCUGGAGGUUAACUCCAACUUUGGAGACUACAGAACAGACUGAUCAGAUGAUUUGGUACUAACGUGACAAAUCUGGUAUAUUGGCGGGUUUCCAUCCUCCCUGGCACUUUUUUCUUUCCUGCUGUCAAGGAUCUC